rnacentral:rRNA from 1 species
UGCAGCUUGCUGCGGGUACUCGAGUGGCGAACGGGUGAGUAACACGUGGGUGAUCUGCCUUGCACUUCGGGAUAAGCUUGGGAAACUGGGUCUAAUACCGGAUAGGACAGCUGUUUAGUGUCAGUUGUGGAAAGUUUUUUCGGUGCAAGAUGAGCUCGCGGCCUAUCAGCUUGUUGGUGGGGUAAUGGCCUACCAAGGCGUCGACGGGUAGCCGGCCUGAGAGGGUGUACGGCCACAUUGGGACUGAGAUACGGCCCAGACUCCUACGGGAGGCAGCAGUGGGGAAUAUUGCACAAUGGGCGGAAGCCUGAUGCAGCGACGCCGCGUGGGGGAUGAAGGCCUUCGGGUUGUAAACUCCUUUCGACAGGGACGAAGCGUAAGUGACGGUACCUGUAUAAGAAGCACCGGCUAACUACGUGCCAGCAGCCGCGGUAAUACGUAGGGUGCGAGCGUUGUCCGGAAUUACUGGGCGUAAAGAGCUCGUAGGUGGUUUGUCGCGUCGUCUGUGAAAUUCCGGGGCUUAACUCCGGGCGUGCAGGCGAUACGGGCUGACUUGAGUGCUGUAGGGGAGACUGGAAUUCCUGGUGUAGCGGUGAAAUGCGCAGAUAUCAGGAGGAACACCGAUGGCGAAGGCAGGUCUCUGGGCAGUAACUGACGCUGAGGAGCGAAAGCAUGGGUAGCGAACAGGAUUAGAUACCCUGGUAGUCCAUGCCGUAAACGGUGGGCGCUAGGUGUAGGGGGCUUCCACGUCUUCUGUGCCGUAGCUAACGCAUUAAGCGCCCCGCCUGGGGAGUACGCCGCAAGGCUA